CCGAAUUAGUCUUUUCCGGCUUGUUGAGGGAACAUUGACCUCUAAGGUUUUGAACGAAAGGCACUGCCAGAACUUAGACCAUCAUAACUGGGUCGGCCACGGUCUUCAGUCUUCACCGCAAUCUCUGCUUGACCUCUUUGACAUGAGUUGCAUCCAUCAUGGGGUGCGGUAGAGCAUUCGUUGAAGUUACUAACAAUUAUAAGAGUGCAGUGUUCCUAAGGACAAAGGCCAUGACGACAAUGACACCCUUAAUACGGCCCUCGUGAAAGGAUCAUGAGCUGCUGAUCAUCCCAGAAAUUUCUUCAUGAAGGGCCCAUCAUCUUUGAGCAAUGUGAGGACCCAUCUUAUCUUCUACUACUUGUUAUGCUUAUCUUACUUCAAGAGAUUCUCAGUUGGAUCAAUACAUACACGCAGCAAUGUGCAAAACACCUCCAACAUUCGGGUCGGGUAAUUAAGGCUCUAGCUUUUGCCCGCAAGCAUGACAAGAAAUUGUUUACACCCAAUGAGGGUCAAACCUUAGACCUAAUAUUUCACGAGACACUAGGGUCAAGUUACUUAUCACUUGAUCCAACCCCUGAGGUUCAUUACCAUACAGAUUAGACAGAAAAUUAUUGAAGUUGGUACUUGUAAGAGCAGAUACUCAACCAACGGCUAAAAUGUUAUCUCAAGGUAACGCAGGAGUUCAUCUUCAAGUUAAAGACAACAACUCAAAUUCAAAACAGAGAGACAAUGCCACUGCUCAAGUUCAUGAUAGAAACAACAAUUCAAACUUCAAAUGUUGUUUAUGUAAAUGGGUGUUUAUAUAAUAUAUAAACACAAGUGAAAUCUCUACA